UAGGAGAAGAUGAGUUAAAUACCGUAUUGCUUAUUUUACGAGGAUAUAGACCAUUUGUUGUAUCUUGAAAAUACGUAAACAAUUUCUUCUUAACAAUGACAUUUAACAGUACAGUAGAUUUUUAAUGAAAAAUUUAUCUCACUUUUACGUCACGCUAAUAUUGUGACACCUGUUUACAUUAUGCAAUCUAGAAAUUCUUAGAAAUCAUUUGAACCGUGAAACAGAUUUAUUUUCUGCAAUUCUUUUGUAUAAUCGACGCCAGAAGAAACUAACAUCAAUAUUUUUUAAUACAUCAAGAGAUUUGACAUAUCACAGGAAGGAAUGAAUACUAGUUGAUAAAAGACAACUUGUAUCUUAUCAUAGAGAAAAGAUUGAAAGUUAUCCUGAAAUUACGCAAUUAUUAGUAUUAAAUGCAGCAGAUAUUAGAAGGCAUAAAGGAAUAGACUGCAUCGAAUUUAAGAAGGAAAGGCGACAACUUUUCUUUUUGUUAAGAAUUUAUUGUAUAAUUAACUAUUAUUGUUUAGGAAAGAAACUAAUUAUGUAUUUUCCAGCUACGACAAAUGGCCUACUGUCCACGAAGAGUCGCUUCAUAGACGUAUUAGACGCGUUGAUGCUAAGAGCAAGUACUAAGUACGCUUCCAUGCAGUGUUUAUUGUCAAGUAAUGUGCACCUGUCCAUGAAACAGCAGCAAACGGUGUUCGUCGCUACAUGUUUUCAUCACGACGGCUGUCGCUAAUAUUGUCAGUAGCGAGGCGUACGUUGCAGCUAUAAACGAAUGCAACGAUACAGGGUGAAAAAGGUUUCACUCGUCGCUCGACGUUUUAAUAACGAAUAACGAAUAGACCGCGGAUUUCUGAUGUAAAUUGAUAUUUUCACGAAUACGAUAAAAUACAGGAUCUAGAUGGAGAUUUGUUUUAUCCACUAAGUACUACAAGAAGUACUGUACUUUGGAUAUCUUAUAUACUUUUACGUAUUAUGUGCAUCUCUCACAAUUUCUCACAAAUUUCUCACAAUGAACAUCGGCGUAGACAUAUCGUCAUGUCUAAUAGACUAUGCUUAGGCUUUUAUGGAACGAAGUUUCGUGGACAGUGGAUCUUGGAGUGUCCUCCUUAAAGCGCCAGACCACCAAGUAUAUUGUCAAUAUUUCAAGAUUCUCAAUUAAAAGGAUCAAUAUGGAUUGUCAAUAUUUAUUGACAAACCUUAUUUUCACUGAGAACUUUGAUAUAUUGGCGAUAUUAUUGAUUGUCCGAAGGCACCCUUAGGAAAAAAUUUUCAUAUUUAAAAGAUAUUUUCAAGCUACGACAAAUGGUUUAUAUUCUCCUAGAAUAAACAACACGAUACAAGUCAUUCUCUCUUACGCAAAACAAUACGUACAGCGACAGUACUGUGUCCAAAUAUUACUGUGAGUAACUGUACACUGCCGAACGCACGACUACGAUAUUCCACAAUUUGAGUGAUAAAAUUGUAUACGUAUACGUCUGCCUCGACUGAAUACAUGCGCGUGUUACUCGGCAAGCAGGAGAACCCGUCGACGGGUUACUCACCGCGGGCGACGCUCCAUCGAUCGCGUCGCUUUGCGAGGGGUGGAAUCGUGGCCAGAGACAUUGCCGAAGCGAGAGAGAAAUUAAUAUCAGAGCAGGAGAGAAGAGGCCAGCCAGGAGAGAGGGAGAAAGGGCGAGCGGAAGGGGAGACGAGGAGAAACGACGAGAGACGAGGAACAGUAGGGAAGCCGGGACUCCCCUAUGUCGACGUUCAACUCUGCAAUGUCGGCUCUUCGAGGGUGUAUUUUAUGGUGAAAUAGGGGAAAUGAGGAGCGACGAAGACAGGUUAUACGUAAAAAGGAACGGAGCGUUGUAGACAUAAAGAACGGAAAGGAGAGGCGAAGGGAAGGGGAGAGACAAGAUAGAAAAAAAUAGAUAGGGGGUAGCAGAGAGCAAUGUGGUGGGAGAGAAACCAGAGAUUAUAAAAGCUAUGAGAGAGGAGGAUGAGCGCUGGUCGAGGAUAUAAGAUAUCCAUGAGAGGAUUGAAAAAGGAAAGAAGUGUAAGAUGGUGGGCGGAAGGAAAUCGUAAUAUCAAAUGAGAGAAUUUAAAAAGUUAUUUUAUAUGUAUUUCAUCGGUGGAUGGUAUGUAAUUAAUUGGACAAUUAUAUCUAUCAGAAAUACAUAUAAGAAAUAUAAGAAUAAGAAUAUAAAUAUUUAUUUAUUUGUUAUGUAUUUUUUAUUAAUUUCAAACUCUUUAUUUUACAUGUUAUAUAUGCUAAUACAUGUAUAUGCAUUUGCAGAACAAGUUUAAAUUAAUAAGCAUGCAAUUUAAUUAACUGAACUAAUAUUUUUCGAGUUCAGAUGUAUCAUGUACAGGCUGUUCCAGAUCUCAACCGGUGAACCUUGUCAACAUGUUUGGGAGGUCAUUUUGAGUAAAAGAUCAUAUAUAUUCCAUGGAUCGAUUUGUCUUCCUUUUCGAGAUAUAAAGGGGAAAGUAGUACGAAACGAAAGUAAUCAGAUGCAUUCAAGCUAUUCGAUGAUAAUCAUUUAUUUCAAAUUAUUUUCUACACUGAUUCAUACUGGUUUACACAAAUUGUUCAAAAUCAUCUUGUUUCUAUGCACAAAGAAGUUAAGUAGCUUGAACGUGUCUGAUUACUCGUUCUUUAUACUUUCCUCUCUCAUAUCGAGUUUUACAAAAUCAAAGCUAAAAUAUCUUUUUUUAAUUACUCAUUUUUUGACUCAAUAUUUUUUCGCAGAGAAUUAACAAAUUGCAUCGAACGAUGUGUGGAAAGAUAUAUAGUUUCAUUUAAAAAGAGAAAACGAAGUACACCUUGAAAUCUCAAAGGCACGUCCACUAAGAUAAGAUUCGUGACAUUACAAAAGUCGAAAAUGAAGAAUUACACACGUGAUAUAAGAAGUAUGAAAUAUUUUGAACAAUAUCGACGUAGAAGGUAACGCAGUCUAAGUCCAUAUCUACAUAUAAUUAAGUUCGCAAGAACCUGGAAUAAAAAUUGGAAAUAGGAAAAUAAUCUGCACGUUAAUCAAAUUUUUUUUAGUAAAAAUUUAAUUUAUAUAAUAAUCAAUAUUAUAAAAUUAGUAGUGGUAUAAGCGAGAAGAUGACGAGUUUAUCAAGUUGCAGAGGUAUGAAAGGGUCGAUUAAACAAUCGCGCAAAAUCUUUCACAAUUUAGUGGUUCAAUAUGCCGAUCCUAAAGCACUAUCAUACAUUAAUUAAAAGUUUUAAGCCUAGCUAAUCGAACGUGUAUAACAGUAGAUUAAAUCGGUGCUUUAUCAAUUAUCUCUCAGAGCAAAUCAUAAAUCAAAAUCAAACUCGAGCGUUCUUUUCAUACGAGUUUAACUUCUUGACGUACAAUUUAAUUGAGAUUAACUUGUCAUUGUAUACUUCGCGUACAAUAUUAUUACCAUUUCUUUCAAGAUUUCAAGAUAAGAUUACCAUUAUAUUUUAUCCUUUCUAUACUUACAUAUUAUUUCCCUAUUACUUUAGUACAAAGCUACUGUUAUGCACGUUAAUAUUUUGUGUAUAAUGAUACGAACGUCGAAACGAAAGGGAAGAUACUUGAAAAGCUAAAGAAAGCUGUGGAAGCGUCGUCUCUUAUCGUCUAUCUAUACCAUUAUUUGCGCGUAAUCUUAUGAACUUUUCACCGGUCUAGAUUAAAUUAUAUCAUGUAGCAGAAAAAAACAAUUUCUUAUUGUAUAUUGUACUAAAUUGUGGGAACAAAGGAUUUUUAGAAAAAAAAUGCGCUAUAAGAUUCAAAAGCAACACUGACUGAACCUAUGCAUUUCUUUCCUUAUGAGAAAUGUGGAAUGAAGAAGAUUUAUUUUUAUAUUUUACCAUCGUGUCUUUAUGCAUUUUAACCACUUUCUAGAUAUAUGAAUAAAUAUGUACAAAUUUUAUAUUAAAGCUUUUUUAUCUAUUAAAUCUUAUUUUAUGGUUGUGAAAAUGUACUUAAUUCGAUGGAUUGUAUAUAUCCUGAUUAACAAAUAUUAUUCCCAAUAAAACUAUAUAUUGAUUUGUGAAGAGAAUUGGUCGCUUAAUCCGCAGCAAUCUUCAAUUCUAUGAAUCUGCAAUAGUCUUCAAUAAUUAAUCUUCGAUCGUUAAUCGUUAUCAAUCUUCCACAUAUUGGGAAAAUUUUAUAUGAAAAAUUGAUGAAUUAUACAUAGAUUUAAAUUAUUCGUAAAUGAAAGAACAAAA